AUGGCCAGGUUGAAGCGCGGGUAAGACCGCGUGGAGGACCGAACCCACCUAGGUUAAAAACUGGGGGGAUGAGCUGUGGAUAGGGGUGAAAGGCCAAUCAAACUUGGUGAUAGCUGGUUCUCCCCGAAAUGCAUUUAGGUGCAGCGUCGUGUGUUCAGUCAUGGGGGUAGAGCACUGAAUGGGUUAGGGGGCCUACAAGCUUACCGACCCCAAUCAAACUCCGAAUACCAUGACUCCAGAGCACGGCAGUGAGACCGCGGGGGAUGAGCUUCGCGGUCGAGAGGGAAACAGCCCAGAUCGCCGGCUAAGGCCCCUAAUUCUGGACUAAGUGGAAAACGAUGUGAGAUUGCCCAGACAGCCAGGAGGUUGGCUUAGAAGCAGCCACCCUUGAAAGAGUGCGUAACAGCUCACUGGUCGAGUGGUCUUGCGCGGAUAAUGUAACGGGGCUCAAGUCCAGAGCCGAAGCCGCGAAUUCACGAUUUAUCGUGAGUGGUAGGGGAGCGUUGUAUGUGCAGCGAAGCGGCGGUGUGAACCAGUCGUGGAGCGCAUACAAGUGAGAAUGCUGGCAUGAGUAGCGAGAGAGGGGUGAGAAACCCCUCCGCCGUAAGCCCAAGGGUUCCUGGGGAAGGCUAAUCCACCCAGGGUAAGUCGGGAGCUAAGGCGAGGCCGACAGGCGUAGUCGAUGCACAACUGGUUGAUAUUCCAGUACCGACGUGUGCGCGUCCAAACCAAGUUCUGGUUGCUAAGGGGCUGUUUCCUUCGGGAAACGAACCGACCCACCGGAAGGCGGUUAGCAAUGAGGGGACGCAGGAGGAUAGGUGAGCCCAGGCGAUGGUUGUCCUGGGGUAAGCGCGUAGGGAGAGGUCCAGGUAAGUCCGGCCCUCAUACAUCCUGACACGCAAUGCCGAGCCGAUUUAGGCGAAGUCACUGAUUCCAUGCUGCCAAGAAAAGCCUCUAGCGAGUUCACAUGUCGCCCGUACCCCAAACCAACACAGGUGGGCGGGUAGAGAAUACCAAGGCGAUCGGGAGAACUAUGGUUAAGGAACUCGGCAAAAUGCCUCCGUAACUUCGGGAGAAGGAGGACCCCAUUAGGGUGAAGGGCCUUGCGUCCGGAGCUCGAAGGGGUGGCACAGACCAGGGGAAAGCGACUGUUUACUAAAAACACAGCAGCGUGCGAAGUCGCAAGACGAUGUAUACGCUGUGACGCCUGCCCAAUGCCGGAAGGUUAAAGGGAAAGGUUAGCCCGCAAGGGCGAAGCUUUGAACUGAAGCCCCGGUGAAUGGCGGCCGUAACUAUAACGGUCCUAAGGUAGCGAAAUUCCUUGUCGGGUAAGUUC
rnacentral:rRNA from 1 species